AGAGUUUGAUCAUGGCUCAGGAUGAACGCUGGCGGCGUGCUUAACACAUGCAAGUCGAACGGGCUAGUUUAGGCUAGCUAGUGGCAAACGGGUGCGUAACACGUAGGUAACCUACCCAGAAGGCGGGGACAACUGUUGGAAACGACAGCUAACACCCGAUAUGCUCGAGAGAGUAAACAGCGCAAGCUACUUCUGGAGGGGCCUGCGGCCUAUCAGGUAGUUGGUGAGGUAACGGCUCACCAAGCCGUCGACGGGUAGGGGGCGUGAGAGCGUGGCCCCCCACACGGGGACUGAGACACGGCCCCGACUCCUACGGGAGGCAGCAGUGAGGGAUAUUGGGCAAUGGGGGCAACCCUGACCCAGCGACGCCGCGUGGAGGACGAAGGGCUUCGGCCUGUAAACUCCUUUUCCCAGGGACGAGACAAGGACGGUACCUGGGAAUAUU
rnacentral:rRNA from 1 species